rnacentral:rRNA from 1 species
AUUUAAGGUCUGGCCUGCCCACUGAUUUUUGAAGGGCCGCAGUAAUUUGACUGUGCAAAGGUAGCAUAAUCAUUAGUUUUUUAAUUAAAAGCUUGUAUGAAGGGUUGGACGAGGUAAAAUCUGUCUCUAUUAAAAUUAUUAUAGAAUUUAAUUUUUAAGUUAAAAAGCUUAAAUUUAUUUAAAAGACGAGAAGACCCUAUAGAUCUUUAUAUAAAUUUUAUUAAUUUUAAUUAAGAAUAUUUUAUUAAUUAAUAUUUUUUGUAUUUUAUUGGGGUAAUAAAAAGAUUUAAAAAAUUCUUUUUAAAUUUAAACAUUAAUUUAUGAUUAAAUGAUCCAGUAUUUCUGAUUAAAAGAUUAAGUUACCUUAGGGAUAACAGCGUAAUUUUUUUAGAGAGUUCAUAUCGAUAAAAAAGUUUGCGACCUCGAUGUUGGAUUAAAAAUUAUCUUAGGUGCAGAAGUUUAAGAUUUUGGUCUGUUCGACCAUUAAAUUUUUACAUGAUCUGAGUUCAGACCGGCGUAAGCCAGGUCGGUUUCUAUCUUUAAUUAAUGAUUAUAUUUUAGUACGAAAGGACCAAAUAUUUAAUAUAUAUAUAUUUAAUUUUUUGAAUAUUAUUAAUUACUUUGGCAGAAUAGUGUAAUGAAUUUAGAAUUCAAUAAUGUAAAAUUUUUUACAAGUAAUAUUGUUUUAUAUAGAUUUGUUAUUUUCUUUAAUUUGUAUUUUAUUAUUAGUUAUUUGUGUUUUAGUGGGCGUUGCUUUUUUAACUUUAUUAGA